UACGAAGGGUGCAAGCGUUAUUCGGAAUUACUGGGCGUAAAGCGUGCGUAGGCGGUUUCUUAAGUCUGCUGUGAAAUCCCCGGGCUCAACCUGGGAAUGGCAGUGGAUACUGGGAGGCUAGAGUGUGUCAGAGGAUGGUGGAAUUCCCGGUGUAGUGGUGAAAUGCGUAGAGAUCGGGAGGAACACCUGUGGCGAAGGCGGCCGACUGGGCCGACCCUGACGCUGAGGCGCGAAGGCGGGGGGAGCGAACGGG
rnacentral:rRNA from 1 species